GAUUAGAGAUCGAGGGAGGAUCCAACCAUCCAAAUCGGCGGACCUCCGGACAACCUUCAAGUUCGGCACGAUGGCGAUGCAUGUCCGCCCAACCUUCAAAUCGGCGGACAGCGACGCAAGGCUGACCAACCUUUAAGUCCGGCACGACGGAGACGCACGGCGGACCGUCUAUAACUUGCAAAUCCUUGUUCGGUAACCAUUAAUACCAAACCUACCCGCAAUCUGGUUGCCGGAGGAUCACGGUACUCUCCAGUGGUUCCGUUGCGUAGCGCCACCCGUUCAGAUCCACCAUUUACGUCGAAGAUACAACAUUUUUAUGCUUUUAUUGAAAGAUUUUGAAAUGGGUUCUAUUUUUGUUUGUUUAUUUAAUAACUGAUAGGGUUUUUUUCAAAUCAUAUUUUUUUUUCUAAUCAAAUUAAUAAUCAUCAGGUUGCAUUUUUAGUUUGUUGAAAAAAUUGUAUUAAUGGUGAGUUUGAUCUCCUGUACAAUGUUUUGAUAAAUUCAUGAAAAAGCUUCAUCUUUCUUUGUUGAUGAUGUGUUUGGAGUUUUUCAAACGGGUUUGAUCUGAAACCUAUGGACUUUGAAACCGCAGUUGCGGUUGGAAAAGAAAACAAUAUGAUCUUGAACGGAUCUGAUUAAGUACGUCGGAGAAAAAAAGGAUAAAGAUUUGUGGGUGUGAAGGAUGCGUAUUUGUAGGUGUGACGGUGGACGGUUGUUGGUGGUUAUGAUAGAGGAACGCGACCGGCGAAUUUUUACGUAAAGGGUGUAUUGAAAAGGUGCCAACAAAUUGACUGGACCAAUACAGAAGUGCCACGUGGACGAAGCUUUAAAAUCAAAUAGGUUCCUCGAGUGAAACGUUACGACGGUGUGUUUAAAGGCAACCGAAGUUGGUUUUUGUAUAGAUAU
rnacentral:lncRNA from 1 species